GAUGAACGCUGGCGGCGUGCCUAAUACAUGCAAGUCGAGCGAACAGACCAGGAGCUUGCUCCUCUGACGUUAGCGGCGGACGGGUGAGUAACACGUGGAUAACCUACCUAUAAGACUGGGAUAACUUCGGGAAACCGGAGCUAAUACCGGAUAAUAUAUUGAACCGCAUGGUUCAAUAGUGAAAGACGGUUUUGCUGUCACUUAUAGAUGGAUCCGCGCCGCAUGAGCUAGUUGGUAAGGUAACGGCUUACCAAGGCAACGAUGCGUAGCCGACCUGAGAGGGUGAUCGGCCACACGGGAUCUGAGAAACGGCCCAGACUCCUACGGGAGGCAGCAGUAGGGAAUCUUCCGCAAUGGGCGAAAGCCGGACGGAGCAACGCCGCGUGAGGGAUGAAGGUCUUCGGAUCGUAAAGCUCUGUUAUUAGGGAAGAACAAAUGUGUAAGUAACUAUGCACGUCUUGACGGUACCUAAUCAGAAAGCCACGGCUAACUACGUG
rnacentral:rRNA from 1 species